GCCUCCGUAGCAUAGCGGCUAAUGCGUUGGACUUGUAAUCCAAAGAUCGCGAGUUCAAGUCUCGCCGGAGGCU
rnacentral:tRNA from 1 species